UACGUAGGUGGCAAGCGUUGUCCGGAAUUAUUGGGCGUAAAGCGCGCGCAGGCGGUUUUGUAAGCCAGAUGUGAAAUCCCCGGGCUCAACCUGGGAAUGGCAUUUGGGACUGCAAGGCUGGAGUUUGGCAGAGGAGACUGGAAUUCCUGGUGUAGCAGUGAAAUGCGUAGAUAUCAGGAGGAAUACCGAUGGCGAAGGCAGGUCUCUGGGCUAUAACUGACGCUCAUGCACGAAAGCGUGGGGAGCAAACAGG
rnacentral:rRNA from 1 species